AGAGAGUGUGCAAAAUGAAGAGA
rnacentral:miRNA from 1 species